rnacentral:misc_RNA from 1 species
UCCGGCUUGCCACCGGCAGUUCCACUAGAGUGCCCACCCGAGGUGCUGGCAACUAGCGAUAAGGGUUGCGCUCGUUGCGGGACUGAACCCAACAUCUCACGACACGAGCUGACGACAACCAUGCACCACCUGUCACCGCUGCCCCGAAGGGAAGCUCCAUCUCUGGAGCGGUCAGCGGGAUGUCAAGCCUUGGUAAGGUUCUUCGCGUCGCGUCGAAUUAAACCACAUGCUCCGCUGCUUGUGCGGGCCCCCGUCAAUUCCUUUGAGUUUUAGCCUUGCGGCCGUACUCCCCAGGCGGGGUGCUUAAUGCGUUAGCUGCGGCACGGACGGAGUCGACACCGCCCACACCUAGCACCCAUCGUUUACAGCGUGGACUAC